rnacentral:misc_RNA from 1 species
AAGUCGUAACAAGGUUGCUGUAGGGGAACCUGCGGCAGGAUCACAGCGAGGGCAUUGCCUGACACACGGUGGUACCUUCGGUAGCAACUCCUGCGGGUUCAGUGGCAACUCCUGCAGAGGUUCAGUAGCAACUCCUGCGGAGUUGUAUGCAUCAUGCAUUGCGUGCAUCGUGGAUGUGUGUAGUGCGUGUGCAUUGCGUGCAUCGUGGAUGUGUGUAGUGCGUGUGCAUCAUGGAUGCUGGACAGCAGGUGGGAGAUGCUGGAGGGGUUUGCGGGCCAGGAGGCUCGGGACCAGAGAACGCAAGUCGAGUGUUGCGCAGAAGCGAGAGGAAGUUAACAACCUUCAACAAUGGAUCUCUAGGCUCUC